rnacentral:rRNA from 1 species
CUACGGGCCGCAGCAGUGAGGAAUUUUGCGCAAUGGGGGAAACCCUGACGCAGCAACGCCGCGUGAGUGAUGAAGGCCUUCGGGUCGUAAAGCUCUGUCAAGUGGGAAGAACCUAUCGAUAUUGAAAAUAUAUUGAUACUGACGGUACCACAAGAGGAAGCACCGGCUAACUCCGUGCCAGCAGCCGCGGUAAUACGGGGGGUGCAAGCGUUAUUCGGAAUCAUUGGGCGUAAAGGGCGCGCAGGCGGCCUUGUAAGUCAGAUGUGAAAGCCCGGGGCUCAACCCCGGAAGUGCAUUUGAAACUAUGAGGCUUGAGUAUGGGAGAGGGAAGUGGAAUUCCUGGUGUAGCGGUGAAAUGCGUAGAUAUCAGGAGGAACACCGGUGGCGAAGGCGACUUCCUGGACCAAUACUGACGCUGAGGCGCGAAGGCGUGGGGAGCAAACAGGAUUAGAUACCCGGGUAGUC